GGGCGAAUGGUCUAGGGGUAUGAUACUCCCUUCGCAUCUCUGUUCUUCUGAUCUUAUCCAAAAGACAAGAGCUAGCUUGGGAGGGGUCCGGGGUUCAAUUCCCCGUUCGUCCA